rnacentral:rRNA from 1 species
UACGUAGGGUGCGAGCGUUGUCCGGAAUUAUUGGGCGUAAAGAGCUUGUAGGCGGUUUGUCGCGUCUGCUGUGAAAAUCCGGGGCUCAACCCCGGACUUGCAGUGGGUACGGGCAGACUAGAGUGUGGUAGGGGAGACUGGAAUUCCUGGUGUAGCGGUGGAAUGCGCAGAUAUCAGGAGGAACACCGGUGGCGAAGGCGGGUCUCUGGGGCUGAUACUGACGCUGAGGAGCGAAAGCGUGGGGAGCGAACAGG